GACGAACGCUGGCGGCGUGCUUAACACAUGCAAGUCGAGCGGUAAGGCCCUUUCGGGGUACGACGAGCGGCGAACGGGUAGAGUAACACGUGGGUGGACCUGCCCUCCAGCUCUGGGAGUAAGCCUCGGGAAACCGGGUACUAUACUGGAUAUGACUCCAUGACGCAUGUUGUGGGGUGGAAAGCCUUGUGCGGCUGAGGAUGGGCCCGCGGCCUAUCAGCUUGUUGGUGGGGUGAGGGCCUACCAAGGCGACGACGGGUAGCCGGCCUGAGAGGGCGACCGGCCACACUGGGACUGAGACACGGCCCAGACUCCUACGGGAGGCAGCAGUGGGGAAUCUUGCGCAAUGGGCGAAAGCCUGACGCAGCGACGCCGCGUGAGGGAUGACGGCCUCGGUUGUAACUAC
rnacentral:rRNA from 1 species